GACGAACGCUGGCGGCGUGCCUAAUACAUGCAAGUAGAACGCUGAAGGAGGAGCUUGCUCUUCUGGAUGAGUUGCGAACGGGUGAGUAACGCGUAGGUAACCUGCCUGGUAGCGGGGGAUAACUAUUGGAAACGAUAGCUAAUACCGCAUAACAGUAGAUGUUGCAUGACAUUUACUUAAAAGGUGCAAUUGCAUCACUACCAGAUGGACCUGCGUUGUAUUAGCUAGUUGGUGGGGUAACGGCUCACCAAGGCGACGAUACAUAGCCGACCUGAGAGGGCGAUCGGCCACACUGGGACUGAGACACGGCCCAGACUCCUACGGGAGGCAGCAGUAGGGAAUCUUCGGCAAUGGACGGAAGUCUGACCGAGCAACGCCGCGUGAGUGAAGAAGGUUUUCGGAUCGUAAAGCUCUGUUGUAAGAGAAGAACGAGUGUGAGAGUGGAAAGUUCACACUGUGACGGUAUCUUACCAGAAAGGGACGGCUAACUACGUG
rnacentral:rRNA from 1 species